rnacentral:ncRNA from 1 species
UGAGUGUUAUGAUGAUGGAGCCGUGUGGCUCUUAGUCUAGCUCUGGUCUACCGCUAGGAUUUAUAU